UACGUAGGGACCGAGCGUUGUCCGGAAUCAUUGGGCGUAAAGAGCGUGUAGGCGGCCACUUAAGUCCUGCGUGAAAUCUUGCGGCUCAACCGCAAGCGGUCGUGGGAAACUGGGUGGCUAGAGUGCGGGAGAGGAGAGUGGAAUUCCUGGUGUAGCGGUGGAAUGCGCAGAUAUCAGGAAAAACACCCGUGGCGAAGGCGGCUCUCUGGAACGCAACUGACGCUGAGACGCGAAAGCGUGGGGGAGCAAACAGGG
rnacentral:rRNA from 1 species